UAUAAUAACAUGUUUAAAUGACCAGCAGUGUCAGUAAAUACAGAUGGGCUGUGAACAACGUCCUUAAGCAUUUCAGAUCCGUAACCACCAAGAUGGCACGUGUACGGCCGACUGGGCUAAACCACUAAGGUGAUACAAGGAUAGAACUUAGGAAAGCAAGUGGCCAGUGCAAAAAUCGGAGCUAGCAACAUCCUAUUGGGCACUAUUUAUGCGUUCUGGAGUUUUUCCAUUUGCAAACGCCUAUUAUGUGAAGUGCGCGUGUACAUAACUAAUACGGCCUGCACUACUGAAAAACGAUUAAAAAAGUAAACGCUGGCAAAGACUUAAAUCUGGAAAGAACGGUAGUGGGGUCUAAUGUUUCAUCGAUUAGUGUCGGACAGUCCUAUCUCUCUUCAUCGGUUUCCAAUAGCAGAUCACAUUGGGCUUUCUCUUUCUUCACUCAGUGGAGUGAUAACCGGAUGUUGAGAUGUAUACACGACGGUCUUCCAGAUCAGAGUAUAAAACAUACUCAGCAGGUGGCGCACGAGGACCUGUAACGGAGAGAGAGAUGGGCUCCGGGGCCGUGGAUUCGUCCCAGUGGCUCUCAGUGAAGGAAGAGACUAUUUUCCUUCACGAUGGACUUAUUCGGGUCACGGAUCUGGCUGAACUGCCUAGCGAAAUCGGGGUGUCUGAACAAGGAGACACUGAGCAGGAGAUCCUCACUUUCGAGACCAAGAACCCAGCCGAGCUGGCCGAGCGCCUCCGUGCCGUCUGUGGUAACCAAAGCAAUGCGUACGCCCGCUUGUUGGAGUACCGUCUGAAUGCACUGCGGGGCCUGUGGGGCGCUCAGCGUCAGCUGGCCCUGGAGGAGCAGCAGGACCGCGAGGGAGCUGGAGGGGGAGACGAGGAGGCCCUGGCUCUGCUAAAAAGACAGGGUCUACUGCAGCAGCCUGAACAAGCUCCUUUCACCUCCCGCGUGGGCCUGCUGCUGGUCUUCCCCCUGCUACAGUCCCAGACGCGCAGUGACCCGGCCCUCUGUGGGGUCACGGCAGAGGUGCUGCUGUCUUGCCUGCGUGACUGCCAGCCCCUCAGCCUCAGCAAGGAGCCCACCGACUGCCUCAAUGGCCUGGAGUGGCUGCUCUGCUCCUGGCUGGAGGAGAACCAGCAGGGACCGGCUCCAACAUGCACCCUUCAUGGACACAGGCAGAGGGAGAAUGCAGCAGCUGCCCUGGUAGCACUCGCCUGCGCCAGGGGAUCUCUAAAGACCUUCAUUCACACCAUUCACCUACUGCAGAAACAGACAGACCUGGGUCAACUCCCUGUGGCUGAUGUCCUCUACAGACUUCUGGUGCUUGAGGGGGGACCGGGCUCCCCGUCUUGUCUGCUGGGGGGCAAACACAGCGUCUCCUGGGGGUUUGAGGACAUGCUGCCAACACCUGACAGCAAUGCUGGAGGGGCGGAGAACAAAGACACAGACCUGGGCCGCUGCCUGGCCACAGAUGGACUCUAUCUCUACACCACUAACUCCUCUGGGAGAGGCCUCAGCAAGCUGGGUUCAGGUUUACACGGGACGCUGAGGGGGUUUGUGUACUGCAGGAAUGAGGAGUUGGAGCCUGGCUGGGUGGUGUUCAGCAGCGGGCGCCUCCUCCACCGCCCCGCCUCCUUUGAUGCCAAGCCUCAUCACCUGUGCCAGGUCAUCGACCCCUUCACUCUGCAGGUGUGCCAGAUUGUGCCCAUGCCGGCCCAGCACUUCCCUGUGGGCAGCAGCAUGACCACGCUACACCUGUGCUCCGAUGGAACGUACCUGUACUGGGUGUGGUCUCCUGCCAGCCUCAACGAGAAGACCCAGAAAGGCCACUCCGUCUUCAUGGAUGUCUUUCAGCUGUCGGUGGACACUGGGUUGUGUGUGGCGGACGGCCUGCAGGAGAGGGUGAUCCUGACCCGGAAGGAGGGGGAGUCUUCCAAGUGUUUGAACGAGCUGCUGCUGAGUCGCAUGUCACGCUUCCGCGCCUCCCAUUCAGCCACGCUGGCGGCUCUCACCGGCUCUGCCAUCACAAACACUGUGAAGGAGGAGCAGUCAGCGGUCAACACGAGCUGUGGCCUCCCUCUGAAGACUCUGAGGAAGACUCCCAUGUAUGUGUGUGGGACGUCACUAGUGAUGCUGGCGUCUCCUCCUGGCGUGUCUGGCAGCUCUGCCACGCGCUCCCUGUUUGGGGGCACCAGCGGCCUGUCCUCUCUGAAGAUCCUCUCCUCCAGUCUGGUGUUCAACCUGGCUGAUGGUCAGUUCAGCAGUCGGGUAGACCUCAUUGAUGCCCCCGGCAGUUCUCUGGGAAGGGGUGCCCAGGUAGCAGGUCUAGGAGCCUGCUACGACGCCCUCAACAACCUGAUCUGGACCUGCUCCAGUGACUACAUGGACCAGUGGUGUAACCCUGGCAAUCAGGCCUUCCAUCACGUGUGCCAUAGGCUUGGCGUCAGCCAUGUCAUCAAAGAACCCAAAGAGGAGACCGUGGCGACCGGGGAGGUAAUCAGCCAGCUUCUUCACCACGUCGGUGCCAUGUGCAUCCACCAGCUCAACCUGCUGGCAGCCAGCAGUAGCAGCCUGUCCCUGGGGGCCCUCCUGGGCAAGCAGCACCCCAUCGAGGCGCACCACUUCAGCAGCAUCUGUGACAUCAUGGAGAAGGCCAUGGUCAACGGGGACACCUGUGUCAUCCGCUGCCUCCUGGUGGUGUUCCAGGUGGUGUUCAGGUUCUUCAACCCUCAGUCGGAGCAGAACAGGGAGAGUGUGCGGCGUUCAGGUUUGCUCCUCUGGCAGCUGCUAAUGGCCCCUGUGGAUCAGAUUGGAGCAACCAUCCAGGGUGAAGUGUGUCUGGCUAUCAGCUCGGGGUUGAACACCUUGUAUCAGGGGGAGUCUGAACUCAACAACCUGCUGAAGCUGGUCCUGACUGAAGGGGAGAGGAACAUUGGUUUGUCUCAGCUCCGUGAUGCCAUCCUCACCAGCCUAGCUGACCAGCUGCAGAAAAAUAGAUUUGGAAGCGAUGAAGAUGACCACUACCGACUCAGUGACGAGCUCCUGCACUGUAUCCUGAAAACCGUUGUCCGUGAAUCCUGCCUUCUUAUCACCAAAUGUCAGACUGUCGCCAGAAACGACUUCCAGAAGCUUCUCUCUACUGUGCCAGUGGCAUCCUCGAGCCUGCGCUACCUCAUGGCCGUUCAGAACCACCUGCUUAGCAACACCGUCUUGAUCCGCCCCGACGACAACGAUGACAGUGACAACUCCCUACAAGGGGAAACAAUGAAGGUACAGGAGCUGCAGACCAGCAUCUUGUCUCUAGCCACCAAGAUUCUGAUGGGGUGUGACGAGGUUCUGGAGACCCUGCAGCAAGUGACCACUGCCCUUAUCAAUAGUGACAUCACUGACCGAGAGACCAGGCUGAAGGGCUUGGAGCAGAUUACCAAGGCUACCAUGCUAGGGCAUCUGCUGCCGGUGCUUCUCACCUCCCUGAUGCACCCCAACCUGCAGACGCUAACGCUGGCUGACGCCCUCAUGCCCCAGCUGGUGCAGCUGGUCCUCUACACCAGCCAGACUGCUCUCUUGCUGAAGACACAGAUGCCCCUCUUCAACGACGGCAAUCCACUGGGCCAAAAGGCACCUGCUGCUGAUGACGAUGAAAGAAUCCUUGAUGAGCGGGAGGAGCCAGGCUUUCUAACUGGCCUGAAGAUUCCUGCCCCAUGGGCUGCUGGGAAAACCGUGGAGACAGUCCACCCAGUGCGAGAUAACUAUAAGUUCAAAGAGACCGUACAUAUUCCCGGAGCACGCUGCCUGUACCUUCGCUUUGACUCGCGCUGCUCCUCGCAGUAUGACUACGACAAGUUGGUCAUCUAUGCCGGGCCCAACACUAACAGUCGCAAGGUGACUGAGUACGGAGGCAACACGCUGGGUUAUGGCAGUCGCAGUGUCCUGGGGACAGGAUGGCCCAAAGACCUGGUGAAGGUGGAGGGAGAUACAGUGACGUUCUCAUUUGAGAUGAGAAGUGGUCGCGAGCACAACACCCCUGAUAAAGCCAUGUGGGGUUUCUCCUGCACUGUGCGAGCCCAGGAAUCCUCAGAGGAUGUCUCUGGGGGGCUCCCCUUCCUGGCAGACCUGGCGUUGGGUCUGUCUGUGCUGGCGUGCUCUAUGCUCCGUAUCCUCUACAACGGACCUGAGGUAACAAGAGAAGAGGAUGCCUGCCAUGACCUGUUGUGCUCCAAGCUGCUCCAAAGGUGUCAGUGGCAGGUGGAGGCUAAUGGUGCCAUCUCUCCGGCCCUGACCCCUAGCCCCUCUCCGUUACCUCUCACCAUUGAGGAGGACCGGGAGUUCACCUACCCCGCGGAUGUCCUCCUCCCUCCCCCGGGCCUCAUGCCUGGGACCUACUUCGACCUGCCCCGGAUCCGCCUGCCUCCGGGCAUCAUGGGCCGGCUGCGAGAGGUUUCCGGUAGGGCGCGGCCACAGUUCCGUCCCAGCAUCAAGGAGGUAAUCCGGCCUGACGUUAUGGAGGAGGUCAUAGUGUCGUGUGUGAUAAAGCACCUGACUCUGGUGGACGCGCUCCAGUCUCUGGUCAACUUUCAGUACCGCGAGGAGCACGGUGAGGAGUACGACCUGCUCUGUAAGAUCAUGGCCGAGACCUUCAAGAAGAUCAACGCCAUGGAGCGUCAGCUGCAGAGUGUAGCGGAGCUGGAACAGAAGUGGCAGAACGAGAUGGAGGAGGCCCAGCAGGGAAAGCUGGAGAACAACGCUCCUUUCUUUCAUGACUAUCACUUCUUUGAGAACAAAAUGAAGGAACUAGAACUGCUGUGCUCAUUGAAGGAGGUCCCGUUGGACUGUAGCGAUUUGGAAAACGUUGUCCUCACACUGAGGGAGAAGUUCUUCCAAGAGGUGAACUCCAUCCACCUGAAGAGUGCUGUGUCCUUGGCUAAAACCAAAGCCCUGGUGAAGAGCUUGAUGAACCGCACAGAGCUUCUGCUCCACGUCACCAUUGCUCCUCACUGCAGGAGCCUGACCGCCACACCUGCAGGCACACCAGCCUGUAAGUCUGUGUCAGAUGCUAAGACUGUAGUCCCCGGGGUGAAGCAGCCAGUCUUCCUGCGCAGCAUGUCAGCACCAUCUGACCUCGAGAUGAUCGCCAACCAGGACCUGGAGUUCCCACACAGCAGCCAAAGGAGGCGACACCACCCAACCAGUCACCGUAGCAGCUCCUUCACCCUGCUGCAGUCUCUAGCUAUGGAAGACAGCCGGGACAAGCCUACGUACAGCGUCCUGCUGGGACAGCUCUUCGCAUUUAUAGGGACCACGCCUGACCAGUCUGUGUCCAGCAGCAGUUUCCUGUCUGCAGCUCAGACACGGUGGAGGCGGGGCAGCACCAGGAAGCAGGCCCUCAUUCACAUGAGAGAGCUUCUCACCGCCGCAGUCAGGGUGGGCGGAGUCACUCAUCUGGUGGGCCCUGUUACCAUGGUGCUGCAAGGAGGGCCUAGGAUCGAGGAGCUGACCUGUGGGGGGAUGGUGGAACAGGUGCAGGAGGUCUUUGGGGAGACCAUGACGUCUGUGGUGUCCCUGUGUGCCCGCUACCCCAUCGCUUGUGCUAACAGUAUAGGCAUGCUCUGCACCAUCCCCUAUACCAGGAGUGAGGAGCAGUGUCUGGUUCGCAGCGGUCUGGUCCAGCUGAUGGACCGGCUCUGCAGCCUGAGCGGCCAGAGGGACUGCAGCUCCAAUGAGAAGCAGACCAAGAAGCAGAAGGUGGCCACCAUGGCCUGGGCUGCCUUCCAGGUGCUGGCCAACCGCUGCAUUGAGUGGGAGAAGGUGGAAGGCGGUUCAACCGAUGCGGUGCACUCCGGUCUGGCCCGGCAGGUGUCCAGUCUGCUGACCAAUCACCUGGCCAGGGCCACGGAGUGCUGUGGGAACCAGGCGGCCGGGAACGAUGCUCUGCAGGACGUCCUCAGCCUGCUCAACGACCUGUCCAGGAGCCACAUAGGGAAGGCCAUCCUGAGCCAGCCGGCUUGCGUGUCCAAGCUCCUGUCCCUGCUGCUGGACCAGCGGCCCUCUCCCAAGCUGGUUCUGAUCAUCCUGCAGCUGUGCCGUGCCGCGCUGCCACUGAUGAGCGUGGAGGACUGUGGCAACGUGGCCCUGCCCUCCUGGAGCUACUCCAUCAACACCCUGGACGCCGAGCAGCAGGACGCUGGCGACCCCGCCUCGCGCAUCGCCGCCUUGCUCUUGGCCAAGCUGGCUGACUACGUGGUACCAGGUUGCCAGACUCUGCUGUCUCCCAGCUCCUCAGAGCCGGACACCAGCCUGAGCCGCGCCAGCCCCAAGGGCACCCUGAAGCCUGACAAGGAUUGUGGCGAGGAGGGCGAGGCUGUGGAUGGCAAACUGUCCAUCUUCAUCCACAAGAGGGAGGACCAGUCGUCCCACGAGGUACUGCAGCCUCUGCUCAGCAGCUCAGAGGGCCGGCCGUUCCGCCUUGGGACUGGAGCCAACAUGGAGAAGGUGGUGAAGAUGGACAGAGACAUGACCAAGAGUGGGAGUUGUGAGGUGAUCACGGAGGAGGCCGCGGCUGCCCUGAGGAAGGCCAGUAAGUGGGCCCAGUCGGGACUGAUAGUGAGUGUGGGCCCGCCUAUGGAGGCUCUGGCCCAGGAGGCAGCAGGAGGUGUCACCACCGGGGACAAGAAGAAGACUGCCCAGACGGCUGUGUGUCGGGAUAGAAACUCGGAGCUGGCCAGGUCCGACCCAAUCCGGCCCUUCAUCAGUGGACAUGUGGCCAACAGUAUGGCGGCUGAGGUCAUCGCCCUGCUCCACAGUCUCCUCACAGCACCCGAAUCCAACACGGCCCAGAUCUGGACCAGCACUGCGGAGAAGGUGCUGUCCAGGGCCCUGAUGUUUAUCCCUCAGCUUGGGAAGUAUGCUGAGAGCAUCCUGGAGAAUGGCAGCAGCAGUGGCAGGAAGCUGGCUAAACUCCAGGCCAUCGGCAGGCAGGCUGUGGCAGCACUCUGCGCUCUUGGAGGCUUUAAGGAGACCAUCAAGAUUGGCUCAGAAGUUCAGGUGAUGGGUAAAGGAGUGCUGGGCAGUGUUGGCGUGGUUAUGUCCAUCAAUGAGCAGGAGGGCAUCGCCACAGUGAAGUUCCCUUCCUGUGAGUACAGGAAGGCCUGCAAGGCCUCCGACAUCCUGACGGUGCCCAUCUCCCGGCUCUGCACUCCCCGCUCUGAAGCUCUGCCGCUCUACAAGCUGUCUAUCACAGAGAAGGUUGUCCAAGCUGUACAGUCCAUGCUUCUGCCCCAGGAGGGUAGUCUGUCCAUCCACACCUCCCUUCCUGCUUCAGGAGACGGCUCCAGUCCUGUCAUGGCCGCUGUCCGGCUGCUGGCCGAAAUCAGGACCAGGGCCUGUCUGGUGAUGGCCCAGCUCCUGGAGGACAGCUCGUUCUGUGAGGAGUUCAUUCAGCAGUGUCCUGCCGCUGUGGAGGUCCUCAACCUAGUGGCCCAGGAGUGCAGCCCAGGGGAGCGUCUUGGCAUGGUUGAGGCCCAGUGUGAGCGUGUGAGGAUGCUGUACAGAGACUGCGCUCGCCCGCCACCGCCUCCACUCCAGACAGACAGGCGCCAGCCCAAGGAGAUUACGUGGUGUCCCUCCAGGGUGUUCCCUCCAGUCCGCGCCUGCAUGUUCUCCUCCCGCCUCACCUCUGUCACCUUCCUGGCCGACCCCAGCGCUGGAGGAGGCCUCCCCAGGGGAACCUUCAUCUACGCUACCUCUCCUGUACCUGUCCAGGCUCCUUCCUUCUACUGGGAGAUUGAGAUCGUCUCCUAUGGAGACUCAGAAGACGACAGCGGUCCCAUCGUUUCCUUCGGCUUUGCCACAGAGGCAGAGAAGAGAGAUGGAGCGUGGACCAACCCAGUUGGCACCUGUCUCUUCCACAAUAAUGGUCGGGCAGUGCAUUAUAAUGGCACCAGCCUGCUGCAGUGGAAGAGUGUGAGGUUGGACGUGGGCCUACUUCCUGGGGAUGUGGCAGGCAUUGGGUGGGAGCGAUCUGAGAGCACCCCUCCGCCCCCCGGCCAGGCCCCUAAAGGACGCGUCUACUUCACCUACUGCGGCCAGCGCCUCAGCCCCUUCCUGGAGGACGUAGCGGGGGGGAUGUGGCCAUUGGUGCACAUUCAAAAGAAGAACACAAAGAUUCGUGCCAACUUUGGUUGCCGGGCCUUCGCGUACGCUGAGGGCCAAGCGCACCGCAACGCCGCUGACCUCUGUGUUGACCUGGCCGAAGAAAUCAGCGCUAACUUUGAGGCCCUCCCAUUUGCCAUGGCAUCGGACAGUGACAACGAUGCAGGUGCUAGUGUGGCGUCUGACUCCGGCUCCCAUGGACCCCCCUGUCGGAUUGCUGCUGUAGCGGUUGCCCAGCAACAGUACAACAGCGACAUGUCCUGCCACUACAAGAUGGAGCUGAGCUACGAGGACCUGGUCACCUCAGGGCCUGCCGCCCACCCUCCGCCCAUCGCCGACGACGAGAGUGAUGACGAAGAUGACGACGAUGUGCCCAGGGAGGAUCACUACGCCCUGCUGGUGAAGGCCUGGGAGACCAAGGUGUUCCCCACCAUCCGCCGACGGUUUCGCAACGAAGCAGAGAGGAAGUCUGGCCUGGACCAGAUCAAGGGAGCACUGCAGCUUGGCAUGGUUGACAUUGCCCGGCAGACCGUGGAGUUCCUGUAUGAAGAGAAUGGGGGAAUCCCCCGGGACCUCUACCUCCCCACUAUUGAGGACAUCAAGGAAGAGGCCAACAAGUUCACCAUCGACAAAGUCCGCAAAGGUUUGACCGUGGUCAUCCGCUGUCCUGACAGUAACAACACCAACAGCACUACAGGCGGAACAGCCCUGCCCAAGUUUGCCAUCCGAGGCAUGUUGAAGACCUUCGGCCUGCACGGAGUUGUCCUGGACGUGGAAUCGGUCAACGAGCUAGUGCAGGUGGAGACGUAUCUUCGGAGUGAAGGGGUGCUGGUGAGGUACUGGUACCCCAUUGAGAUGCUGGAGCGCCCCCCCGCCGGCUCCCGUCGCACCGCUGCCAAUGGCCUGGUCAAUCUGGACAGCAGUAACAUCCAGAUCCACAGGGAGCUUCUGCGCUGUGAGAGUGCCCUGGCUCGGCUCUACUGCCGCAUGGCUCUGCUCAAUAUCUUCGCCCCCAAGAACCCCCACACCUUCACACGCCUCUUCCACAUCCCAGCCAUCAGAGACAUCACUUUGGAACACCUGCAGCUGCUGUCCAAUCAGCUGCUGGCCCCGCCUCUGCCUGAUGGCACCAUCAGCUCCAGCUCCAUCCUGCUGGCCCAGUCUCUACUCCACAAGCUGCAGGGCCAGAGCUGCUCUCCCACAGACCUGUUCUACCAGGGCAACGCACAGCCCAUCCGGGAGUGGCUGACCGUGGCCAUCACCCGGGCCCUUCACCAGGGGGAGGACAGCCUGCUGGAGCUGACCAAGCAGAUUUGCUGCUUCCUUCAGAAUGCACCGGAACAGUUUACUUCAGAGGACUUCCCGGUAUCCGAGUCAAAGGUCAGCAUGGAUGUCAGCUUUCCGGGUGCUGCGUUCGUGAUCGUGUCCUGCAAAGAGAGCCAACUCGGCUGCCGCAAAGACUCCUCCCUGUACAAAGCCCCGUGGGCACGGGUCAUGGUUUAUGGCCUGGGCCACAAGGUCCGCAGGAACGGCCAGCUCAACCUGAUGGAGGCGGCACGUUACCCUCUGGACGCCUCGCCCUCCAACACUGGCCUCACCCCCCCUCCCACCACCAACCAGUACCCCACAGUCAUCAUCCCCACGGACAAAGUGCACAUUAAACUGGGAGUGUCGCCCCCUCCUGGUGCUGUGCUGGUGCUGCACUCCCUGCCGCUGGAGUUCCCCCUGGCAAUGGCGUUUGUCGAGCAGCUGCUGACGUGGAAGCUGGGGGAGGGCAGUGAGCGCUCUGAGGAGGAGCUGGACACUGUGCCAUCGUCUGUUCUGCUGCAGGUGGUGGAGCUGCUGGGUGGGCUUUUAUGGACCACCGAUCUGGCUCCCUGUAUCAAAGAACUGUCCUUCCACCUGCUGGCCGAGCUCUUCCGUAAGAUCCACCUUCUGGAGCAGCGAAGGAGCCCUGCCGGCCUGUCCAGCUCUAUUGCCCUGCUACUCAACCCCUGCCUGGCUGUUCUCAUGGCCCUGCAGACUGAACUCCGGAAGCUGUAUGACCGGGAGACCCAGGGCUGGGCGACUGCUGGUGCUGGAACCGGGGCCUCGUCCUCGGGUGGUGGUGCCCUGGCCCUGGGGGCUGAGCAGUGCCGCUUCUCCACCUACUUUCAUGCCCUGAUGGAGGUGUGCCUGGCUGUAGCUGAGGUCACCCUGCCUCUGAACGUGGGCUGCUCUGGCGUGGGAACCCUGUCCUCCACCAGUGCCCCCAACCUCAGCGACUCCUCCUCGUCCUCCUCGUCCUCCCUGGGCCAGACACCCCAGAGCCCCAGCCUGCUCUCCAAGCGGAAGAAGGUGAAGAUGAAGCGGGAGCGUGCUGCCGCAGUGGCGGCGGCGGUCUCUGGGAAGAGGGGCUCGGGCGGAGGGGCUCGCCUCUCCGAGAGCGACAGCGCCCUUCUCAACAUGGCCGGCGGUAAGCCCGAGGACAUGCUGUGGUUCCACCGUGGCCUCACUCUGCUCAUGAUCCUGCGCCACCUGGCCAACAAGGACCCCCAGGGGCUGAGCGUGACCAGUGACGCCGUCACGGACGCCAGCCAGGCCCUGGUGGGACCCACCGCUCACAGCCGGCUGCUGGUUCUCUCGGGCAUCCCCACCCACCUGGAGGAGGCCGCGGUGCGCAGUGCCAUCCGCCGGGCCUGCAACGCCCACGGGGGGCUGUUCAAGGACGAGGUCUUCAUCCCCCUGCAGGAGGAGGACCCCAAGAAGUCGAAAGCCGGCGUUUCCGCCUCCCUGGACAGCAAAGCCGGCGUUGGCCCCGAGCGGGCGUUCCCAGGCAACGGGGGAACCGACAGCCCGGACAGCUCCAGCAGCGUGACCCCGGCCAUGAGCGUCUCGGCUUCGGCCUCCACCAGCCAGACCUCCAUCUGCAGCUCCUCCCAGGGUGGUGUGUCCCGCACCGCCAGUGAGCUGUCUGUAGACCAGGAGCUUCUGGCGGCCCCGCCUCUGACCCCCUUGGCCACGGCGUUGACCGCUCCCUCCCCACAGCAGGGCCCCCUGGAUCCCCACACGGUGUCCAGCCAGGAGAGCCUGGACAUCUCCCUGUGCAGCACCGGGAGCCUGGGCAGUCUGGGCAGCCUGGGGGAGCCUCUGGACAGCGCGGAAACAGCCUCGGUGUCUGAGGGGGGCUCUAUGUACACCGUCACCUCCCUGGAGAACAACCCCGCCUUGGCCCGGCCCAUCAAGGGCUAUGCCGUCAUAGAGGUCCGCGCCCGGGCCAAAGUGGAGAAGAUCCGUGCCAGCCUCUUCAACAGCAGUGACCUAAUAGGCUUAUCCAGCCUGGAGGCUGAGGACGAGCUGAUGGAACUGACCAAUGAGGAGAUCCUCACGGCCUCCAGCGUCAACCAAAGCCUGUUUGACACACAGGGUAGCUCCGCCCUCGAGGACUACUUCCUGGACAAGUCUCUCAGAGGGGACAAGUUGGUGCCAAGUGCGCGAGAUGUCCUGACGGACAUCUUCAAGAGUUGCGUCCACUCAGAGCAGAUGCUGAGCCUCACCCCAGCUAAGCCUGUCAAAGUCUCUGACAUCUACCUGAGCAAGGAACAGAUCAACUCCCAGACCCCUGGAAACCUUCUCCAUGUCUUCUUCACUAGCAUACGAGCACCUAAGAAGAUGCUUGAGGACCAGCUGACGCAGGUCCUGCGGAAGUAUGGCGCGCCCAAGCCCAACAAGAACAAGUACAGUAAGGCUGGUAAGGAGCAGCAUGCGGGCAAGGUGGUGAGCACCAAGAGGCCUAUCACCAAGCCACCCACCAAGGAGAAGUCUGUCCUCAACAGCGUCCGGACUGCACUGAGUGAGAAGAAAACUGUCUUGAAGCCUAAGUCCCCUGACAAACCCAGGCCUGAUGAAAAAGACACUGAGAAAUCUCCUGCCAAGAAGCCUGAAGUCCAAGAGGAGAAGUACCUAACUUUGGAAGGCUUCCAUAAGUUUGCUGUGGACCGAGCUAAGCAGGACAUCCGUAGUGUGUGGAGGGCCAUUCUGGCCUGCGGUUAUGACCUCCACUUAGAAAGGUGUACCUGUAUAGACACCCGUCACGCCCAGAAGGCCUGUAGGCGGUGGACUCUGGAGAUGGACGUAGCGUUGGUUCAGUACAUUAACAGGCUGUGCGGUCACCUGGCCAUCACACCGGCCAGGCUGCACCCCCAUGAGUUGUACCUGGACCCCAGCGACGCCGCUGACCCCCGCGUGGCCUGCCUCCUCAAUGUUCCUGUGGAGAACCUGCGUCUGCGGUUUGCCCUCCUGCAGUCUCUGAACAACACCCUGGAGAGUUUCUUCCUGCCUCUGGUGGAGCUGAGACAAACCCACACCUACCAGAACAGCAUCGCAGCGCUGCUCCGCGGGGCCAAAGGCCUGGUGUUCUACGACACCAAAGUGAUAGUGAUGAAUCAGGUGCUGAACGCCACGGUGCAGCGCACCGCCGACCACGCCGCCCCAGAGAUCACCCUGGACCCCUUGGAGAUUGUGGGAGGCGAGAUCCGAUCUUCAGAGAACACCUACUUUUGCCAGGCAGCGCGCCAGCUGGCCUGCGUUCCCUCGUCCCAGCUGUGUGUGAAGCUGGCCAGUGGAGGAGACCCCACCUACUCCUUCAACAUCCGCUUCACUGGAGAGGAGGUCCACGGAACCAGCGGCUCCUUCCGUCACUUCCUGUGGCAGGUGUGCAAGGAACUCCAGAGCUCCGCCCUCUCCCUGCUGCUCCCUUGCCCCAGUGCAGCAGCCAAUCGUAACAAGGGGAAGUAUAUCCUGACGCCCUCUCCGAUCAGCUACGCGGAGGAGCAGUUGCUGCACUUCUUCGGCCAGCUGUUGGGGAUCGGCAUUCGGGCUGACGUUCCCCUGCCCCUGGACCUGCUGGGCUCCUUCUGGAAGGGCCUGGUGGGGGAGCCCCUGGACCCAGAGCAGGACCUCCAGGAGGCCGACCUUCUCACAUACAACUACGUCAAGAAGUUUGAGAGCGUGAGUGAGGAGGAGGAUUUGGAGGCUCUGUGUGCUGAGAUGUCAUCCCAGCACCACUCGGGAGAGAGUCCCGACUCCCCCAGCCAGCCUUGCUGCACCUUCACCUACAUCACCAUGACCGGAGAGGAGGUGGAGCUGUGUCAGGGGGGACGCAACCUCUGUGUCAGCUGGGAGAAUAAAGAUGUGUAUGCACGGGCGGUACGAGGCCUGCGCCUGCGGGAGCUACAGAACGUGGAGUGUAUGACGGCGGUGCGAGCCGGCCUGGGCUCCAUCAUCCCCCUGCAGCUGCUCACCAUGCUCAGCCCACAAGAGGUGGAGCUACGGACCUGCGGCCUGCCCUACAUCAACCUGGAGUUCCUCAAGGCCCACACCAUGUACCAGGUGGGGCUGAUGGAGACGGACCAGCACAUUGAGUUCUUCUGGACGGCCUUGGAGAUGUUCACCCAGGAGGAGCUUUGCAAGUUCAUCAAGUUUGCCUGCAACCAGGAGCGCAUCCCCUUCACCUGUCCCUGCAAGGACGGCGGCCCAGACACCGCCCAUGUACCCCCGUACCCCAUGAAAAUUGCCCCUCCGGACGGGGCGGCAGGUUUACCAGACUCUCGCUACAUUAGGGUAGAGACCUGUUUGUUCAUGGUGAAGCUGCCCCAGUACAGCUCCCUGGAUGUGAUGCUGGAGAAGCUGCGCUACGCCAUCCACUACCGCGAAGACCCUCUUAGCGGCUAAAGGGACCUGGUAGAGGAAAUACCAUCUCCAUGUGCUUCAACAUCAACCUCAUUAUUCAUUACCCUUCCAACCCCAGCCUCUCCUCCUUACCCCUGACCACAUUGACCAUGUCCCCCUCUUGGACUUUAGCUGGGACUUACCCACAUAACGGAAGGCCAACCUGCUUCACCGAUAAGCCACUGAAGCUUUUCUGUUUUCUGCUUGUUAUGUGUUCGGCUUUGUUCCAGCACCUCUUUUAAAUAACAUUGUAAUCAGGUUGAGCAUUUCAGGAGUGCGUUUUGACUACUGUUUUCAGAGCUGAUGUAUGGGAGCCCCACUUGCCUUGACACUGACUGGUGUCUUUUCUGGUUGCACUGAGUUUAGGAAUGACCAUGACGUGACUCUUUCAUCCGUACACUCACAGUAGGAGGGAGCUGUGACAGGGCGCACAAUCUUUUUUUAGGGACAGUUACUCUGUCUUCCACCUUAUUUCUCCCUCUCUUUCAGAAGUCCUUACGGUUUCCUUCCCGCUCGCUUUCAUAGGAAUCUCUCUCAGUGGUCCUCAGCAUUGAGCCAGGGGGACCUGGAGUAGUGCUGUUUUUCAUUUUAGCCCUCUAAUCAGGAGCUGAUUUAGACCUGGGACCCCGGAUGAAUGCAGUUAACUACCAGUGAAACAGUUGUUGUGUGAGUAAAACCGCCAUAUGACUUGGAUGGGACUUGAAGAACACAACGAGAGCUACCACAAAAUAUUUAAGUUGGCCGUUUUCUAUUGCUUUCUGAUUUAGUUAUCUUUAUGUUCUUUAAAGGGGAUACCGCUGCUAACAAGGACGCUCUCUCCUUCUGUUCCUACCUCCUGCAGGAGUAGAAGAGAACAUUAAGGACAUAUCCGUACAAAGAGAUGUUGCGAUAAGAAAAUGUGUGUAUUUACUUGAUAUUUAUUACAAUUAUUUAUGGUUGCAUUAACUUAACUUUUACUGUGUUACUUCUGCACAUUAGAAACUUAACACAGAUCUCUAAAAAUGGAUUAUACAGAGGUAAAGAAUAAGAUGGGGUUUAAGAUUUCUGUGUCACAAUAAAAAAAUGUCUUGAUGUAAGCCUGUUGUCCGCUAACUUCUUUUGUAAAGAUGCUCAGGAAAAACACAAAAAGCUAAACAUACAGGCAGUGGACUACAUGCCACCAGUAAACACAAUCUCCUGACAAGAGGAGAAAGCCCUGGUACAAUAAUGCAUGGAGACUGUUUCUCACCAUAUGCUCACAGGGAGGCCUACAGAAGUCAGUUUUUCAUUGUCUUUUAUUCCCCAUUAGUUUCUUUCCCCCAGCUAGAUUCACUAAUGUAAAAUAUCUGACAAUUUAAAAUGUCUUUUAAAAGUUUACAAACUGUAAAUAGUUUUUACUCAAACCAAAUGGUGAGAGAAGUAUUGUGUCCACGCAAUUUGACCGUCUUUGUUUGGAUGUGUUUGCUGUGUGUCGGACAUCUUCACGUUAAAUCAACUGCUGUAAGAAGUUAAAGGACCUGGCUCAACCAUUGUGAAAGUUGGUGCUGACCAUGAAACCGUAAGCUGGCAGCUCUGAUUACUUAUUUCUAUCUCUUGGCUGGGUGUAAGGGCCCUAGGCCCCGAACUUGUCACAUCACCCAAGUCUGCUAUUUAAACCAGGCACCUUUUCAAAGCAGUAGGUGCAAGCCAGUUCCAGCUGGAUCUGUGCCUGUUUUCAGUCACCCCACACCGCCACUCCACCCUGGUAUGUUACCAUGUGUGCCAUGUCACAUGCUAUAUAUAGCUUAGACUGCGUGUAUCUUGGGAUGCAUGUGAAAAAUUAAGAGAAUGUUUUGUGAUGGGGUUUUUGUACAAAAUCAGCCCCAGGUAUUAGAAGUAGCUCACAGUACAUCAUGCAUUUCACUUGAUAUAGCGGGAUGAAAGACUGUCAGAUAAAUAAGGAUGCAUUCAUUUAUAUUCCAUAUUAUGGAGUCGGAACACACAGGAAGUGCUAAUGUAGUCAACUGGGUGAGACUUCUAACCUCAUUGGAAUUCCCUCCUGAUGACCUGGGGGGAGUCCUGUCAAACAAGGUCAUCAGUAGUAAUCAGCCAAUUAAAUAACCCAAAUAGCUGUGCAUAUCAAUCUCGAACAACUUUGGUGAUACAGACGGGUGACAAAUGAAAGGAAAAAUCAACAAGAAGUUAAGGAGCUGCCAGAACAUUUUCAAUGCUCCUUGGCGUAGAUUCUACAGUAUGAGUCUCUGGAACUCAACUGGAAGUUGAAACGCCAUUCUUCCAAAGAUGUUGUCUCAUUUGGUGUUUUGAUGGUGGUGGCGGAGAGCCAAAUUUCCCAUAGGUGUUCAACUGGGUUGAGAUCUGGGGACUGCGAAGGCCAUAGCAUAAGAUUCACCUCAUUUUCAUACUCAUCAAACCAUUCAAUGCCCCUCUGGUGCCCUGUGUAUGGGGACAUUGUCAUAUUGGAAGAGACCCAAUAAUGUACCUUCUUCCAAAUUAGAUUCUUUCCUCUUGACAUCUUGAUCCUUAGCUGGGCCUGCUCAGCAUUUUUAUACAUGCCACAGAGCAUAAUAUUUUAAUUGCUGUGGAAGGAUCUGCAUUUGUUGUGUUCCUCCAGUCCUUUAUUGAAAUUUAUCCUUCAAUUUGUUAUGUUGCAUUAUGAAUUGC